UACGAAGGGGCUAGCGUUGUUCGGAAUUACUGGGCGUAAAGCGCGUGUAGGCGGGUCUUUAAGUCAGGGUGAAAUGCCAAGGCUCAACCUUGGAACUGCCUUUGAUACUGGAGACCUUGAGUCCGGGAGAGGUGAGUGGAAUUGCGAGUGUAGAGGUGAAAUUCGUAGAUAUCGGGAAGAACACCCGUGGCGAAGGCGGCUCUCUGGGACGGUACUGACGCUGAGACGCGAAAGCGUGGGAGCGAACAGG
rnacentral:rRNA from 1 species